ensembl:lncRNA
CUCCUGUGUUUCAAGGAUGGCAUCAGCUCAGGGUGUGUUUCUUGUCUGUGAGGAUCUCUGGACGGAUGGACCUGCGGGUUUGAUCUGCCUGGAUCAGCCACAUACUGUUUGACAGCGCAGUUUUUCUUGACGUUAGCUGUUGGGGCGGCUUUGAUGCAGGAAGGGUGGACUGUCGCUGGGAGUUUGGAGUGUGUUCAGUGAGUUAUUUCUAUAGACAGGACAGUGAGGAGAGCGCCUGAGGAGCAUGCACACACACACAAGUAGAGUGCUGCUGGGACCGACGCUUUUCCCCAGACGCUCCACAUGGACACAGUAAAGAAGAGGUCGUGGCUAUAUUCGGCAAGGUCAUCGAGGAGCCUGGAGUCAGCGCUCAUCAUCAUCAUCAUCAUCAUGCUGUUUGGUUCAGUUCAGCUGUCCUUGACCCCUCUGCUCUCUUUUCUGGAAGUUUCUGUGAUUUGCUGCGCCGUGCGGUUCAUCGAAACCCUCAGAGGGCCUUUCACCUGUCUCCUAACAGCUCCCAGAAUGCAGCGCUGUGCAGGACGACACACGCCUGGCAAUUAGUGGAAUGGAAACUGGAGUGCUCUUCUGAGAGCUGAAAUAAUUGGAUGUUAGACACUUGUUGAUGGAGGGCAGCAGAUUCUGGAUUUAGAAGAAAACCUUUAUCGAGUCCCAGCGCCCUUGAAACGGAUGACAUCGAUUGGACAGCCAGAAGAUUCCCGACCCCUCCUGCCCUGGAGGACGAUCAAUGGACCCGCGGGCCGCUCCCGGAACAUCAGCAGAGGAUUAAACAAUCUCCCAGCACAACACAAUUAACUCCACAACACCUCACAUCAAUAUUUAGGAGCAAACUACAGAUAGCACAGAGAAAAAAUGCUUCGAAUUUUGUAUAUCGCAUGGCAAUAUUAAAGCAAUAGUUCACCCAAAAAUUACAAUUUGCUGUAAAUCUGCUCACUAUCAGGCCAUCCAAGAUGUAGAUGAGUUUGUUUCUUCAUCAGAACAGAUUUGGAUCCAUUGAAGUGAAUGGGUGCCGUCAGAAUCUGAAUGUUUAAACAUUCAGAUGUCACCCCCUUUCUAAUCAUUAACUUUCAUAUUUAACUGUAGUUUAAUUACACAUUUUUUUCUCAGUAACUGUGACUACAAUUACAUUUUUUUUUUGUAAUUAAAUUAAGUAACUCUGUUACAUGUAACUAGUUACUCCCAACACUGAGUAUAAUGUAAAAAUAAUGUUGAUAGACUGUUACAUCUAUAAUUUUACAAGAUUGAGAACAGCAAAAAACGUACAAAUAACAGCAAAGAGUGUGAUCUGUGGUGUGUGUAAACGCCGGCAGGUUUAAACAAAGGUAAAAUUGAGAAAAAACGCUUUUGACAGAUCAGAAAGAGAACCCCCUUUGUUUUCCACCAGGAUCAAAUGAGUGCUCUUGAAAGACCAGCAGCCUGUGUUUUAUUAAGUAGGGCUCCAGAGCAGCACUGCUUCUCUCCAAAGCGCUAUUCUCUCCUAAUAGAGAACUGAAAGCCGCUGCGACCUCUAAGUUAACCUCCGCUGAGACAUAGC